AUCCCCAGUUUGUAGGGAUAAGGACCUGGGUACUCCUCCUCCAUGUCAAAGGAGUCUAUGAUCCAGUUUCGCUUCUGUCGGAUCUUACCCCUUGACGUGGCAGAAUCCGUUCCAGCAGGCCUCUUUAUCUAUGUGGUUAUUCAUGCAGUGUUGCCUCUCCCAUUAAAGCUCAUGGGUUGCUGAAUUCCAGUUUGCGAUUCUGUUGUCAGUAACAAAAAUCACUCCUCGGCCCUUUCUCUCCACUGCUAAACCUGUUCUUCCACACUGCACCCAUUGUUUUCAUAGGAAGGGUGGAGAUGGACAGUUUUACGUGGAAUUGCCCUGUAACAUUCAUGAUGAAAUGUAAUAACAACAUGACAGUUUUGAGUAAUCACCCAUUUUAAAAUAAUAUUUAAUAAAUCAUCCACUACCUCUGCCCUACCACCCAGCUAGCACACUGUAAAGAUAUGAAAAUGAGUUCCAAACAUGCUGUACACUAUUUUUGUUCUGUAUGAAUGAAUAGGGACAUAAUGGCAAAGAGUGUCAUCUGCAACUUUCAUAAGUUCUUUAGCUUGUCUCAAAAUGUAAAACGAAAAAACUUUUAAAGCUUCCAGUUUGCAGUUUUACAUAAUAGUGGAGGUUUGUUGCAUUGUUCUAUAUUAUAUGCAGCUUGUGUCUUUCUUUAAGUCAAUGUAUUGCAUUUUCUAUGUACAUUUAUCCAAGUAAGAAAACAAAGAUGCAAGCUUCAGAGACUAUACAAGAGUGUUGAAAAGUAUCCUUAUUUACUAUUCAAUGUACAUCAUAGCUGUUAAAUCUAGAAGAUUUUUCUCUUUUUCUUCUUUUUUCUACUUUGUGUUGUGUUGUUGUGUUGUGUUGUGUUGUGUUUUAUGUUAUGUUUUAUGUAACAAAAACAUUUACACCUUUAUACACAGAAUUAAAUGAGCAAAGCAUACCAGUAGUCAGAGAGCACAAGUUACCUUCCAUGUAAGAAACAACAUUUAGAAGGAUGAAAGAGAGGUGUGUUUGUUCAGACAUGUCACUCUACAGAGAGGUGUGUCUUGCAAAAACAUUUGGGUGUAG